rnacentral:rRNA from 1 species
UACGUAGGGGGCAAGCGUUGUCCGGAAUCAUUGGGCGUAAAGAGCGUGUAGGCGGCCCGGUAAGUCCGCUGUGAAAGUCCAGGGCUCAACCCUGGGAUGCCGGUGGAUACUGUCGGGCUCGAGUCCGGAAGAGGAGUGUGGAAUUCCUGGUGUAGCGGUGAAAUGCGCAGAUAUCAGGAGGAACACCAAUGGCGAAAGCAGCUCUCUGGGACGGUACUGACGCUGAGACGCGAAAGCGUGGGGAGCGAACAGG